rnacentral:rRNA from 1 species
CAUGCAAGUCGAACGGCAGCACGGGAGCAAUCCUGGUGGCGAGUGGCGAACGGGUGAGUAAUACAUCGGAACGUGCCCUGUCGUGGGGGAUAACUAGUCUAAAGAUUAGCUAAUACCGCAUACGACCUGAGGGUGAAAGCGGGGGACCGUAAGGCCUCGCGCGAUAGGAGCGGCCGAUGUNUGAUUAGCUAGUUGGUGGGGUAAAGGCCCACCAAGGCGACGAUCAGUAGCUGGUCUGAGAGGACGAUCAGCCACACUGGGACUGAGACACGGCCCANACUCCUACGGGAGGCAGCAGUGGGGAAUUUUGGACAAUGGGGGCAACCCUGAUCCAGCAAUGCCGCGUGUGUGAAGAAGGCCUUCUGGUUGUAAAGCACUUUUGUCCGGAAAGAAAUCCCUUGCCCUAAUACGGCGGGGGGAUGACGGUACCGGAAGAAUAAGCACCGGCUAACUACGUGCCAGCAGCC